rnacentral:rRNA from 1 species
CGCUAAUAACGGAAAGCAUUAGAGAUAGUGCCCCCCUUGUGGUCGGUGUACAGGUGGUGCAUGGCUGUCGUCAGCUCGUGUCGUGAGAUGUUGGGUUAAGUCCCGCAACGAGCGCAACCCUUGUUCUGUGUUGCCAGCAUGCCCUUCGGGGUGAUGGGGACUCACAGGAGACUGCCGGGGUCAACUCGGAGGAAGGUGGGGACGACGUCAAGUCAUCAUGCCCCUUAUGUCUUGGGCUGCACACGUGCUACAAUGGCAGGUACAAAGAGCUGCGAAGCCGUGAGGCGGAGCGAAUCUCAAAAAGCCUGUCUCAGUUCGGAUUGGGGUCUGCAACUCGACCCCAUGAAGUCGGAGUUGCUAGUAAUCGCAGAUCAGCAUUGCUGCGGUGAAUACGUUCCCGGGCCUUGUACACACCG